rnacentral:rRNA from 1 species
UGAGGAAUAUUGGUCAAUGGGCGCAAGCCUGAACCAGCCAUGCCGCGUGCAGGAUGAAGCAUCUAUGGUGUGUAAACUGCUUUUGUACGGGAAGAAACCACCCCUCGUGAGGGGUAUUGACGGUACCGUAAGAAUAAGGAUCGGCUAACUCCGUGCCAGCAGCCGCGGUAAUACGGAGGAUCCAAGCGUUAUCCGGAAUCAUUGGGUUUAAAGGGUCCGUAGGCGGGUCUGUAAGUCAGUGGUGAAAUCUCCCCGCUCAACGGGGAAACUGCCAUUGAUACUGCAGGUCUUGAAUUAUUGGGAAGUAACUAGAAUAUGUAGUGUAGCGGUGAAAUGCAUAGAGAUUACAAGGAAUACCGAUUGCGAAGGCAGGUGGCUACGUUUGAUUUGACACUGAGGCACGAAAGCAUGGGGAGCAAACA